AACGUAUCACUUAAAGCGAUUCAGCGGGUUACGAUUGACGGAGCGAAGCGACGUCAAAGCGUAUACAAAGUCGAGUCGGUUUAAGGAUACGUUCGUUGGGUAGGGGAGCGUUCUGUAAGCCUGCGAAGGUGGCCUGUGAGGGUUGCUGGAGGUAUCAGAAGUGCGAAUGCUGACAUAAGUAACGAUAAAGCGGGUGAAAAGCCCGCUCGCCGGAAGACCAAGGGUUCCUGUCCAACGUUAAUCGGGGCAGGGUGAGUCGACCCCUAAGGCGAGGCCGAAAGGCGUAGUCGAUGGGAAACGGGUUAAUAUUCCCGUACUUGGUGUUACUGCGAAGGGGGGACGGAGAAGGCUAUGUUGGCCGGGCGACGGUUGUCCCGGUUUAAGCGUGUAGGCUGGUUUUCCAGGCAAAUCCGGAAAAUCAAGGCUGAGGCGUGACGACGAGGCACUACGGUGCUGAAGCAACAAAUGCCCUGCUUCCAGGAAAAGCCUCUAAGCAUCAGGUAACACGAAAUCGUACCCCAAACCGACACAGGUGGUCAGGUAGAGAAUACCAAGGCGCUUGAGAGAACUCGGGUGAAGGAACUAGGCAAAAUGGUGCCGUAACUUCGGGAGAAGGCACGCUGACACGUAGGUGAAGUGAUUUACUCAUGGAGCUGAAGUCAGUCGAAGAUACCAGCUGGCUGCAACUGUUUAUUAAAAACACAGCACUGUGCAAACACGAAAGUGGACGUAUACGGUGUGACGCCUGCCCGGUGCCGGAAGGUUAAUUGAUGGGGUCAGCGCAAGCGAAGCUCCUGAUCGAAGCCCCGGUAAACGGCGGCCGUAACUAUAACGGUCCUAAGGUAGCGAAAUUCCUUGUCGGGUAAGUUCCGACCUGCACGAAUGGCGUAAUGAUGGCCAGGCUGUCUCCACCCGAGACUCAGUGAAAUUGAACUCGCUGUGAAGAUGCAGUGUACCCGCGGCAAGACGGAAAGACCCCGUGAACCUUUACUAUAGCUUGACACUGAACAUUGAGCCUUGAUGUGUAGGAUAGGUGGGAGGCUUUGAAGCGUGGACGCCAGUCUGCGUGGAGCCGACCUUGAAAUACCACCCUUUAAUGUUUGAUGUUCUAACGUGGACCCGUAAUCCGGGUUGCGGACAGUGUCUGGUGGGUAGUUUGACUGGGGCGGUCUCCUCCUAAAGAGUAACGGAGGAGCACGAAGGUUGGCUAAUCCUGGUCGGACAUCAGGAGGUUAGUGCAAUGGCAUAAGCCAGCUUGACUGCGAGCGUGACGGCGCGAGCAGGUGCGAAAGCAGGUCAUAGUGAUCCGGUGGUUCUGAAUGGAAGGGCCAUCGCUCAACGGAUAAAAGGUACUCCGGGGAUAACAGGCUGAUACCGCCCAAGAGUUCAUAUCGACGGCGGUGUUUGGCACCUCGAUGUCGGCUCAUCACAUCCUGGGGCUGAAGUAGGUCCCAAGGGUAUGGCUGUUCGCCAUUUAAAGUGGUACGCGAGCUGGGUUUAGAACGUCGUGAGACAGUUCGGUCCCUAUCUGCCGUGGGCGCUGGAGAACUGAGGGGGGCUGCUCCUAGUACGAGAGGACCGGAGUGGACGCAUCACUGGUGUUCGGGUUGUCAUGCCAAUGGCACUGCCCGGUAGCUAAAUGCGGAAGAGAUAAGUGCUGAAAGCAUCUAAGCACGAAACUUGCCCCGAGAUGAGUUCUCCCUGAGACUUAGAGUCUCCUGAAGGAACGUUGAAGACGACGACGUUGAUAGGCCGGGUGUGUAAGCGCAGCGAUGCGUUGAGCUAACCGGUACUAAUGAACCGUGAGGCUUAACCUUAC
rnacentral:rRNA from 1 species